UACGUAGGCAGCGAGCGUUGUUCGGAAUUACUGGGCGUAAAGAGUGUGUAGGCGGUGCUCUAAGUUCGGUGUGAAAUCUCCUGGCUCAACUGGGAGGGUGCGCCGAAUACUGAAUGACUUCGAGUGCGGGAGAGGAGAGUGGAAUUCCUGGUGUAGCGGUGAAAUGCGUAGAUAUCAGGAGGAACACCGGUAGUGUAGACGGCUCUCUGGACCGUAACUGACGCUGAGACACGAAAGCGUGGGUAGCAAACAGG
rnacentral:rRNA from 1 species